GCCUUCGGGGUGUAGUGGUCAGCACGCUCGACGCGUAACCGAGAGGUCCGUGGUUCGAUUCCCGGCGAAGACG
rnacentral:tRNA from 1 species